GGCUGCGUCCCUGGCCCCGAGGCCGGAGGCAUCUCCAGGACACCGCAGUUCCAGAAAGGUGUUCCUUGAGUGGAGCUGGGGUACGGACCGGGCGCAAGGCUCAGACACAUCCCACCCCAUCACCCCGCCUCCCUAGACGCAGGGGAUGCAUUUCUGAAGAACUGAAAAUCACCCUCUAAUUUUGUAAGGAAGUCAUCUGUAACUUUCCGGGUUCCUGUAACUGCUUUACACAUAUUGCACAGAAAAACGAGACGACCCCUCGUUGGCUCAGGAGCCAAAGAAAAGUUAAGUCACUCAUUUGGGAGGGCCACCAGGGCCGAGGGCAGAGGGCACGAAGACAAUGGCAAAUAACCCUCAGCUGCUCCCCGAGAAUGAACCACCCCCACUCCGAGUCCGAUCUCCUCCCGGAGAGAAACUCUCAGCGAUACUGGAAUCGCAGUCCGAGAACGCCACCUCGGGACCGUGACUCCCCAUGGUGUCUCCUGCUCGCUCUCGUUACAAAACUUCUUAAAGGAAAAAUAAAGAAAUCA